AUUCAUUAUAGUUUUCACAUGAAGUCUAUUUUUGUUGAAGUUAUCAACUGUUCACUGAUGGAGAAUUGAGUGCAAAACUGUUUGUGGCAAUCGCAUUCCUAAUACUAUCAUAGCAAUUGCAGUCCUAAGCCAUCGUAAUAAAACUGUUCAUAUCAAUUGCAGUCCAAAGCCAUCUUCAUGGUUUCUAAGUGGUACUGUCCACAGUAAUCUCAUGUAACUUUAGGCUGUCAAUUUUCAGCAAAUGACCCCGGUGUGAGAAAAUAACAGCGUGGAUCUGUUUAAACUGGGAUUUUUUAAAGAGCAUUUUUCUUUGGUUUCUGUCACGAGCUGUUUUAAGGUUUUUAAUGGACUAUACUUUCAAGCGGCAUUUUAUUUUUUACACUUUAGAUGUACUUUGACCAGUAUUACUCUUUUUUUUAAACAAUAUUAAUAUGAAUUUGAUUAAACUAGCAGAAAACCACAAUCAGACAUGCCUCCCUGACAACCAGUCAUCUUUCGCCCAAUGCACAGCACCUAAGAUACGCAUGUGUAGUUAGCUUGUGGGAGGACUGCGUGCUAGCAUGUUUCUGCAUGCAGAGAUCUCCCUCUCUGUGUCUCUCUGUGCAUAGUUUAUCCGUGAUCCCCCUCUCUGUGUCUCUGCAUGCCAUGUUUACACAUGAUCCCUUUUAUGAAUUCUAUGGCAUCGUGCCCCUCCUCACAGAGCCAGGGAACCCUGAGGACAUCGCUUUUGAGGUCAUCUGUCCUUCUAUUCCUGUCACGGGUUUUCUGAGGCACCACAUAAAAAAACAGGUUCUCUUGAAGCCCAGAUUCUAAGGAUGAAAAGCAUCCCCAAAGCACGAUGCUGCCACCACCAUAUUUCAUUGUAGGGAUCAUGUUAAUUGAGGUUUGGCUAUUUUCUCCAAUGAGCUGGUGCACACUCCAGAACUGUGGGCCAGGCAGAAGUACCAAAAACUUGUGAGCUACACUGAUACCAAGAGGAGGCCAUUGGAAGAACCAGAGUUAAUGGCCCAAGAUUUUCAGAAGUUUGUCAAGAUUGUAAAGAUUGCAGCCUGCGGGAGGAUCUCGGCACCGAGGAAGUGUGGUGCUGGAGCGGUUGGAGUCGGAGCGGAGGAGUUGCUGCUGUCGGCCUGAAAAGGGGAGGAGCCGUAGCCGUCCGCCAGGAGGCGGAGGUGCGGCUGCCGUCCGCCUGAAAAGGGGAGGAAUGGCUGUCGUUCGCAUGGGGACGGAGGACCUGCUGCCAUCUGCUGGGAGGCGGAGGUUGUGUAAUUUGUGAACUUAAAUACACCCUGUUACAAAUAUGUGAAUAUAAAAUAUAAGUUUGAGACUCUAUGUCAGUUAAGUUAGUUAUUAUCACUUGUAAUGUAAAAGGAGUUAAUAGUCCUAUGAAAAUAACAAAAAUUUUAAGUUAUUUGAAAUAUCAUGAGAUAUAGCACUUCUCCAAGAAACCCAUCUCACAGAUAAGGAAAUUGGAUUGAGAGAAUGGAUUGGAAAUGUUUUUUUUCCUCCUACAAUUCAAAAUCACAUGGGGUAUAUAAUUUAAUAAACAUUUAUAUUUGAAAACAAGACAUAAUAAAAAGGACAGCUUUAGAAGACAAGUAAUUGUCUUCCAAAUAAUAGUUAUACUUUUAUUAAUAUAUAUGGGCCUAAUCAAGAUGAUCCAAUUUUUUUUUCCCAACAAAUGGCCCUUACAGUGUCCCAGUAUGCUAACUGUAUUAUAGGGGGAGAUUUCAAUUUGGCUCUUGAACCUGCAAUAGAUCAUUAAAAGGACAGUGAGUCUCAUAAGAGAUCAAUUAGUAUAUUGAAGCAAGGCAUGGUGGAUAAUGGAUUGAUGGAAAUAUAGAGAAAAUUACAUCCAGUAGACAAGGAAUAUUUGUUUUACUCAAAGGCCCAUAAAUCAUAUCGACAAAUUGAUAAUUUUUUAAUUAAAAAAAAUUUGGCUGCAGAAGUGAAUGAAUGUGAUUAUAUGGCGGCUUUUACUGACUAUUGUCCAUUGUGGUUGCAGACAAAAACAAAACAAAUAUUACAAAAAAUAUUACUACUUGGCAUUUUAAACUUUAAUUAUUAAAUGAUCCAGACUUUAUUAAGACACAUGAAAAAGAAAUUGAGAUAUUUUUAGAAUUAAUGUGGGUACAGCUUCUCAUAGGAUAAUUUGUGACUGUAUUAAAGCAUAUUUGAGAGGGAAAAUUAUUUCCUAAUAGUCCUAUAAAUGGAAACAGAAAAGACAGAGUCUUGAUAAAUAAGAAAAAGGGAUUGAUGAUUUAGAGAAAGAAUGUGCUAACUGGUCUAUUAAUAAUAAAAAUGAAGUACUGAAUAAUUUAACACAAAAAAAAAAAGAGUAGAAUAUAAUAAUUUAACCACUCAACGAGCAGAAGCUCAAACAAAAUAUCACUAUUAUUUGGCAAAAAAAAG